UCCUGGCUCAGAGUGAACGCUGGCGGUAGGCCUAACACAUGCAAGUCGAACGGCAGCACAGAGGAGCUUGCUCCUUGGGUGGCGAGUGGCGGACGGGUGAGGAAUACAUCGGAAUCUACUUUUUCGUGGGGGAUAACGUAGGGAAACUUACGCUAAUACCGCAUACGACCUACGGGUGAAAGCAGGGGACCUUCGGGCCUUGCGCGAUUGAAUGAGCCGAUGUCGGAUUAGCUAGUUGGCGGGGUAAAGGCCCACCAAGGCGACGAUCCGUAGCUGGUCUGAGAGGAUGAUCAGCCACACUGGAACUGAGACACGGUCCAGACUCCUACGGGAGGCAGCAGUGGGGAAUAUUGGACAAUGGGCGCAAGCCUGAUCCAGCCAUACCGCGUGGGUGAAGAAGGCCUUCGGGUUGUAAAGCCCUUUUGUUGGGAAAGAAAUCCAGCCGGCUAAUACCUGGUUGGGAUGACGGUACCCAAAGAAUAAGCACCGGCUAACUUCGUGCCAGCAGCCGCGGUAAUACGAAGGGUGCAAGCGUUACUCGGAAUUACUGGGCGUAAAGCGUGCGUAGGUGGUUGUUUAAGUCUGUUGUGAAAGCCCUGGGCUCAACCUGGGAACUGCAGUGGAAACUGGACAACUAGAGUGUGGUAGAGGGUAGCGGAAUUCCCGGUGUAGCAGUGAAAUGC
rnacentral:rRNA from 2 species